AUUGAACGCUGGCGGCAGGCCUAACACAUGCAAGUCGAACGGUAACAGGAAACAGCUUGCUGUUUCGCUGACGAGUGGCGGACGGGUGAGUAAUGUCUGGGAAACUGCCUGAUGGAGGGGGAUAACUACUGGAAGCGGUAGCUAAUACCGCAUAACGUCGCAAGACCAAAGAGGGGGACCCUCGGGCCUCUUGCCAUCGGAUGUGCCCAGAUGGGAUUAGCUUGUUGGUGGGGUAACGGCUCACCAAGGCGACGAUCCCUAGCUGGUCUGAGAGGAUGACCAGCCACACUGGAACUGAGACACGGUCCAGACUCCUACGGGAGGCAGCAGUGGGGAAUAUUGCACAAUGGGCGCAAGCCUGAUGCAGCCAUGCCGCGUGUAUGAAGAAGGCCUUCGGGUUGUAAAGUACUUUCAGCGGGGAGGAAGGGAGUAAAGUUAAUACCUUUGCUCAUUGACGUUACCCGCAGAAGAAGCACCGGCUAACUCCGUG
rnacentral:rRNA from 1 species